AAGUUACCCGGUGUGCCUUACAGGUAUCGAGCAUAGAGAGUAGUUGAAGAUCGAAUAAGCCAGAAGUUCUGCCCAACCAGGACAAUCAUGGUCAAUUGUAUAUCAAACUGCACUGACGUCAAUGCGCAAUUUUGCCACUGAAUAGCUGCAGAUGGGCUGACAGACUUUUGCUUGCUGCAGCGCAGACGCCUGUAGGUAUAAAAAUCACUGUUAAAUACACUUUCCGAUACCGGGGCAG